UUUAGUAUCAAUUCGAGAGAUUAAUUGAACAUCACUAGCGUAGCCAGAUGUAAACAUUGGUUACGCAAAGGCCAGUCGCGUUUUGCUCUUACCUUCUGUUUCGCAUAUGUGAAAUGAUAUACAGACGAAACCGUUUUUUGGAGCUAGUACUUGUUACAGUUUUUGGUGUCGGCGGUGGGUUCUAUGCAUUUCAACCGGCCUUCAAACAGUAUCAAAUAGAGAAUACGAAAAAAUCGAUAUCAGAACCACAACGUGAAUAGAUUCGAGAUACUUUUAAACGCGAAUCUUCUAACUAUAAAGAUGUCCACUUUUAAGACUAUGUUCUCCAUUCUCCGAGGCUCACCGGUGGCUGUUUUGGGUGGAGCGAUACUUUUAACUGGAUCAAUCGUGUACACCUACAAACGGGUCUACGAACCUUUUGCUGCUCGAAAACGUCGCGCCGAGGCGGAGUUUAUAGCUGACUUUAUUUUCAAUAAGGAGCAACAAGCUCGAGGAUUUGAUGGACAGAAGGGUCCAGUACUCAACGACAGAUAGGAUUACCAGCAAUGCUAUUUUGAUAAUCUGGAAUAGCGUAUUGAUGAUUUGCUGAAUAUAUGAGUGUUUGCAAAA